GCUGAGUCCCACUCCAGCCUGGAGCAGCUCUCAGCGCCGGCCGAGCUGAAAGCAUUGGAGCUAUUUCAGACACAUUAAAAGGAUCAGAGUCAAUACCUCAGCUGGUAGAAGAAGGUACCCUUUUCAGCAUCAAAAGGAGGUGCACAUACUCACUUGACGGGAUAAGCCUCUGUCUUAAAAAUGUCAAACCAGCCAGCGUCACAUGUCAAAGCCAUUCAGGCUAAUAUUAACAUCCCAAUGGGAGCAUUUCGACCUGGUGCGGGCCACCCGCAUAAAAGAAAAGAACUUACACCUGAAGAAGUGGAGGAGAGUGUUCCUGCUUCAACAGAGGAGGAGAAAGACAAGAAACAUCUCCCAGGAGCUAAGAAACUUCCCGGUCCUGCUGUCAACUUGUCAGAGAUUCAGAAUAUAAAGAGCGAGCUGAAAUUUGUCCCCAAAGCUGAACAGUAGCCACAACAAGCAGAGUGAAAACCCAUCAGCAAAAAUAAGGAACUUGCAAAAGAUCAGAUCCAGGACUUGCACUGAUAGAGCUGCAGGAGUACUCCAGAAGAAACUACUACAUAUAUGUUCUGAGAAGAGAUGAGCCAAAUCAAUCUUUUCCACUGGAGAUCAUGAUGGUGCAAAUUCAAAACCAAAAAAUAAUUUGUCUUGGAUGCCUUUUUUUUUUUUUUAACAGCAGGUGAUUCCGCUCACCUUCUCCUUCUGUUUCUCUGUGGAAAACAUACUUUUUGUUGUUAUUGUUUUGUUUUCUCAGUUUGUUUAGCCAAAAACCUUUUUUUUUAGUGAAACAGGAUGUCAUGGUAAAAUUUAGUUCUCCCAUGUAUUUUCUCAGUCCUAAUACCUCAUUUCUAAAUGCUUGCCUGUCACAGAUUGCAAAAUCAAGUGUUAACAGUACAGUCUUGUACAGACAAGAUGCCGUAACACUUUCAUUUAUGUUUUGAGUAAAUCUAUUUAUUCCAUGGGAAAAAGAUGGGCUUACAUUUGAAGCUCUAAUAAAUGACAAAACCCUAUCAACACAACAGAUAUAUAUAUGUAUAUAUAUAUACACACACAUAUAUAUACACACACUAGUUAUUGAUGUGAAAUAACUUCAUGUGUACUGCAGCUGUAUUUAUCAACUAUUAAAUGACUGGACAAUAAGCUUUCCAAAGAAGAGACAAUUACCACGCUACCUGCAGUAGCUUUGAAGAAGCAAGAUAAUGUGAGGAAUUAAGCGUAUCUUGCAUGGACCAGAUGUCAGAAUACACAGCUUUCUAAUACAAUCAGUUAUAUGUCAAGUUAAAUUAGCAGCCUGAGUAUGAUGUCUCGCCUUCAUGCUUAUCCAUUUCUGAAGGGAUCCUCUGGGUCAUGUACAAGAUGGCUGUCAAAUUUCCUGAGCUGAUUAAGACCUCUUGCUUUCCCAUGGCAAAGAGGCCAUGAAAUCCAGGACAGGAGUGUUAAAUAUUCAGAAGAGGCUGCAGAGACUGUGAAUUAGGGAAAUACUAGUUUUGACAGUUAGCAACCACUUUCUUACAACCCUUCCUUUUCCUCCCAUUUGCUGUAUUUUUUCGAUGUAUUUGACUUCAUAUGAAGUGCUACGCAUUUCAGAAAAAGUAUUUGCAUAGUGCACAGAGACCCCUUAGCCUCAAUUUGAAUAUUUUGAAAAUAAAACCAUAGCCAAGUUCCA